rnacentral:lncRNA from 1 species
GCCAAGCAAGUUCAGUAUGUCAAAUGACACUUGGUUGAGCUAACUUGGUACUGCUAAAACAGCCAUGCUUCUUGAGGUUCUGUGGGAGUGCUGGACAAGGAGAAGGUUGGAGGAGUCGGGCGGGAGCUGUGCUAUUCCCUGCAGAGCCGGAUGCCAGCAGUGCUAUCCCAAGGGCUGGUUGAGAACAGCAGCUUUGGCAUAUUUGGCUUUUGGGACCCUGGAGACCUGAUGAUUGAGAUGAGAAAUAAAUCAGCAAACAAGCUGUGUACCUUCCUGCAAAGUGUUUGCAGCCAAGCACCAAGUUACAGGCGCCUCUCUGCAUAAGUGGGCUAGGCACAGCAAGCACAGCACUCACAGCACUUGAUCAAAGAAUAAUUUACAGAUAAUCUGAGUCUUGGGUCAAAUCCAUCGUUAACUAACCAAACCUCCCUCAACCCCAUGUUUUAUGAAGUUUCCACGUGGAAAGGCUUUAAUGAGUUCCUGUUCAUGACGAAACUUCCUAUGUUGGAUACAGCCCUGAAUCUCAUGCCAGCACUGGCUUAGCAUGGGUUGGUGCUGCUAGACCCAGACAUCUGGAGCUGCGCUGUGUAGGUGCUGGGUCAUCGCAACGCCUUCCAAUACAGCCACUCCAGGAGUACUGGUAGAUGCAUGACCCAAGGUGAGCAUGAAGAUGGUAGAGCACUUUACCUACUGGAGCAACUUUAUGCUGCAAUCUGAGGGCAGAUGGAUACCAGCUCUUUCCCUCUGGACAGGAUUUCUCAGAAAGACACCCACAUGAUCACCAUGGUGCUCACAGAAGCCUUUGUUGGGAGGAAGUUCACCCAUCCUGGCAAGGGGAGCAGGAGGGAGAGAAGCCCAUGUGAGGUGGAUGCUGUGUGUGCUGCAUGUUCCUUCUCUGAUCAGAUGUUAUCUCCUUUCCUGUUGGAAAAGUGCAAACAAAGCCAUUAA